UCCAGGAAGUAAGCGACAAAAAUCGGAAAAGGGCAUCAAAACCCGCGUAUCCGUACAAAAAAGGGCGUACGGGAUAUGCACGGUUACAACAAAGAAUUCUAGCCGAGGAGAAAAGUGACGCAACAUCUCUUCCGGAGCAUGUAUUGUGGAAGGCUGCUCGGGUUGGGAAGGAUGGGGCUGUCGUUGAAGCGGUUCAAAAUGUUUAUGACGAAUGUGAGACUUUAUCCCAAACCUUACCUUCAACCGAGGUCCAGGAUUGCAGGAGCCUACUUAGUCGAGUACUAAAUGUUCCUGAGUAUUCCGGUCGUGUGAGGGGUAAGGGUUUUGGUGUGACUCCGUCGUCAUUUUAUAAAAAACCAAAAACAAAAAUCCUACCAACAAAGAGGUGAUGGAGACCUUGGCGGAGU